CCCAGACUCCUACGGGAGGCAGCAGUGGGGAAUAUUGGACAAUGGGGGGAACCCUGAUCCAGCGACGCCGCGUGAGUGAAGAAGUAUUUCGGUAUGUAAAGCUCUAUCAGCAGGGAAGAAAGAAAUGACGGUACCUGACUAAGAAGCCCCGGCUAACUACGUGCCAGCAGCCGCGGUAAUACGUAGGGGGCAAGCGUUAUCCGGAUUUACUGGGUGUAAAGGGGGCGCAGACGGCAGCGCAAGCCAGGAGUGAAAGCCCGGGGCCCAACCCCGGGACUGCUCUUGGAACUGCGCGGCUGGAGUGCAGGAGGGGCAGGCGGAAUUCCUGGUGCAGCGGUGAAAUGCGUAGAUAUCAGGAGGAACACCGGUGGCGAAGGCGGCCUGCUGGACUGCGACUGACGUUGAGGCCCGAAAGCGUGGGGAGCAAACAGGAUUAGAUACCCCUGUAGC
rnacentral:rRNA from 1 species